CGAACGGUGAAGCCCAGCUUGCUGGGUGGAUCAGUGGCGAACGGGUGAGUAACACGUGAGCAACCUGCCCCUGACUCUGGGAUAAGCGCUGGAAACGGCGUCUAAUACUGGAUACGAGUAGCGACCGCAUGGUCAGUUACUGGAAAGAUUUAUUGGUUGGGGAUGGGCUCGCGGCCUAUCAGCUUGUUGGUGAGGUAAUGGCUCACCAAGGCGUCGACGGGUAGCCGGCCUGAGAGGGUGACCGGCCACACUGGGACUGAGACACGGCCCAGACUCCUACGGGAGGCAGCAGUGGGGAAUAUUGCACAAUGGGCGCAAGCCUGAUGCAGCAACGCCGCGUGAGGGAUGACGGCCUUCGGGUUGUAAACCUCUUUUAGCAGGGAAGAAGCGAAAGUGACGGUACCUGCAGAAAAAGCGCCGGCUAACUACGUGCCAGCAGCCGCGGUAAUACGUAGGGCGCAAGCGUUAUCCGGAAUUAUUGGGCGUAAAGAGCUCGUAGGCGGUUUGUCGCGUCUGCUGUGAAAUCCGGAGGCUCAACCUCCGGCCUGCAGUGGGUACGGGCAGACUAGAGUGCGGUAGGGGAGAUUGGAAUUCCUGGUGUAGCGGUGGAAUGCGCAGAUAUCAGGAGGAACACCGAUGGCGAAGGCAGAUCUCUGGGCCGUAACUGACGCUGAGGAGCGAAAGGGUGGGGAGCAAACAGGCUUAGAUACCCUGGUAGUCCACCCCGUAAACGUUGGGAACUAGUUGUGG
rnacentral:rRNA from 1 species